CGCAGCCGCGGUAAUUCCAGCCCCAAUAGCGUAUAUUAAAGUUGUUGCAGUUAAAAAGCUCGUAGUUGAAUUUCGGGAUCAAAGGAUCGGUCAUGCCUUGGUAUGUACUGGUUUUAUUGGUUCUCACCUUCUAAAGAACCAUAAUGUCAUUCAUUUGAUGUUAUGGGGAAUUAGGACUGUUACCUUGAAAAAUUAGAGUGUUUAAAGCAGGCUUACGCUUGAAUACAUUAGCAUGGGAUAAUGAAAUAGGACGUUUGAUUCUAUUUUGUUGGUUUCUAGGAUCGACGUAAUGAUUAAUAGGGAUAGUUGGGGGCAUUAGUAUUCAAUUGUCAGAGGUGAAAUUCUUGGAUUUAUUGAAGACUAACUACUGCGAAAGCAUUUGCCAAGGAUGUUUUCAUUAAUCAAGAACGAAAGUUAGGGGAUCGAAGACGAUCAGAUACCGUCGUAGUCUUAACCAUAAACUAUGCCGACUAGGGAUCG
rnacentral:rRNA from 1 species